GGACAUGGAGGCAACUCUGAUCCAGCCAUGCCGCGUGCAGGAAGACUGCCCUAUGGGUUGUAAACUGCUUUUAUACAGGAAGAAACCGCUCUACGUGUAGAGCUCUGACGGUACUGUAAGAAUAAUGGAUCGGCUAACUCCGUGCCAGCAGCCGCGGUAAUACGGAGGAUCCAAGCGUUAUCCGGAAUCAUUGGGUUUAAAGGGUCCGUAGGUGGAUAAUUAAGUCAGAGGUGAAAGUUUGCAGCUCAACUGUAAAAUUGCCUUUGAUACUGGUUAUCUUGAGUUAUUAUGAAGUAGUUAGAAUAUGUAGUGUAGCGGUGAAAUGCAUAGAUAUUACAUAGAAUACCAAUUGCGAAGGCAGAUUACUAAUAAUAUACUGACACUGAUGGACGAAAGCGUGGGUAGCGAACAGGAUUAGAUACCCUGGUAGUCCAUGCCGUAAACGAUGGAUACUAGCUGUUCGACUUCGGUUGAGUGGCUAAGCGAAAGUGAUAAGUAUCCCACCUGGGGAGUA
rnacentral:rRNA from 1 species